CCGCAAGGCUAAAACCCAAAGGAAUUGACGGGGGCUUACACAAGCGGUGGAGCAUGUGGUUUAAUUCGAAACAACGCGCAAAACCUUACCAAUCCUUGACAUAUGAAAAACCAGGGUGUUUACCCGCUCUGUCUCUUUUAUACAGGUGCUGCAUGGCUGUCGUCAGUUCGUGGUGUGAGCUGUUGGGUUAAGUCCCAGAACGAACGCAACCCUCCUUUGAAAUGAAGGUUUACCUUUUUCAAAGACUGCCAAGGAUAUCUUGGAGGAAGGUGAGGAUGACGUCAAGUCCGCAUGGCCCUUAUGGGUUGGGCUACACACGUGCUACAGUGGGAAUGACAAAAGGAGGCAACAUGGCAACAUUGAGCAAAUCCCAAAAAGUUUCCUUAGUUCGGAUUGUUCUCUGCAACUCGAGAACAUGAAGUUGGAAUCGCUAGUAAUCGUAGAUCAGCACGCUACGGUGAAUUUGUAUCUAAGCCUUGUACACACCGCCCGUCACACUCCGAAAAUUUUCAUGCCUUGAAGCAAAAGAAGUUCACCAAGAACACACAGCGCAAUUAAAAAAAAACAUCUUCCCUUUUUUUUCUGUGUCUUUGUUGGAACCUUUUCUAGAGUUAGGGAGGUGAUUGGAGUG
rnacentral:rRNA from 1 species